rnacentral:rRNA from 1 species
GACGAACGCUGGCGGCGUGGAUUAGGCAUGCAAGUCGAACGGUAGGAUACCUUCGGGUAUCUGAGAGUGGCGAACGGGUGAGUAACACGUAGGUGAUCUACCCUCAAGAUUGGGACAACCCAGGGAAACUUGGGCUAAUACCGGAUGAAAGCAGCAGCGAUGUUGUUUGAAAGGUGGCGUAAGCUGCCGUUUGGGGAUGAGCCUGCGCUCUAUUAGUUAGUUGGCGGGGUAAAGGCCCACCAAGGCGAUGAUAGAUAGGCGGCCUUAACGGGUGGUCGCCCACACUGGGGAUUGAGAUACGGCCCAGACUCCUACGGGAGGCAGCAGUCGAGAAUAGUCUACAAUGGCCGAAAGGCUGAUAGUGCGACGCCGCGUGAACGAAGAAGCCCUUCGGGUGUAAAGUUCUUUUAUAUGUGAGCAGUGCUUUCUAUGUGAACAGCAUAGGGAGAGAGAUAUUAGCAUAUGAAUAAGCAACGGCUAACUCCGUGCCAGC